rnacentral:rRNA from 1 species
UACGUAGGGGCCAAGCGUUGUCCGGAUUUAUUGGGCGUAAAGAGCUCGUAGGCGGUUCGGCAAGUCAGCUGUGAAAUCUCCACGCUCAACGUGGAGGGGUCAGCUGAUACUGCUGUGACUCGAGUCCGGUAGGGGAGUGUGGAAUUCCCGGUGUAGCGGUGAAAUGCGCAGAUAUCGGGAGGAACACCAGUAGCGAAGGCGGCACUCUGGGCCGGUACCGACGCUGAGGAGCGAAAGCGUGGGGAGCAAACAGG